GGUGCGUAGCUUAGCUGCUCCUCAGUAUGUGGGACCUUCCCAGAUCAGGGAUCCAACUCGUGUGCCCUGAAUUGGCAGGUGGAUUCUUUACCACGAACCACCAGGGUAGCCCAGUUGUGAAUGUUUUUAACAUUUCCUUUCCCCUAUAGAAUUCUCUUAUCAACAGAUCAUAGCUCAUCUGCUUCUGUUGAAAGUUGGUUUUCCAGGCUUGCUCAACACAGGUUCUUGGGUUAAGCAUUCAGUGCUUGGAAGGUUCUUAACAGAGUGAAUGGCACAGGUGGUGGUGGUGUUGAGUCACAGAUCAUGUCCAGCCCUUUGUGACCUCAUGGACUGUAGCCCACAAGGCUCCUCUGUCCGUGGGAUUCUCCAGGCAAGAAUACAGGAGUGGGUUGCCAUUGCCUUCUUCAGGGGAUCGUCCUGAUCCAGGGAUCAAACCCAUGUCUCCUGAAUUGCAGGCAGAUUCUUUACUGCUGAGUCACCAGGGAAGCCCCUGUGGCACAGGCAGAUUCUUUACCAUCUGAGCCACCAGGGAAGCCCAAGAACAAGCCAGGAGGACUCAUUUUAUUCAAUAGUUGCCAUAAAUAAAUAUAUGUAAAAUG
ensembl:lncRNA